rnacentral:rRNA from 1 species
UGAGCUUGAUCCUGGCUCAGAUUGAACGCUGGCGGCAUGCCUUACACAUGCAAGUCGAACGGCAGCGCGGGGCAACCUGGCGGCGAGUGGCGAACGGGUGAGUAAUAUAUCGGAACGUACCCUGGAGUGGGGGAUAACGUAGCGAAAGUUACGCUAAUACCGCAUACGAUCUAAGGAUGAAAGUGGGGGAUCGCAAGACCUCAUGCUCCUGGAGCGGCCGAUAUCUGAUUAGCUAGUUGGUGGGGUAAAGGCCUACCAAGGCAUCGAUCAGUAGCUGGUCUGAGAGGACGACCAGCCACACUGGAACUGAGACACGGUCCAGACUCCUACGGGAGGCAGCAGUGGGGAAUUUUGGACAAUGGGCGAAAGCCUGAUCCAGCAAUGCCGCGUGAGUGAAGAAGGCCUUCGGGUUGUAAAGCUCUUUUGUCAGGGAAGAAACGGUGAGGGCUAAUAUCUCUUGCUAAUGACGG